AGUGAACGCUGGCGGCGUGCUUAACACAUGCAAGUCGAACGAGAACGGGAUUAGCUUGCUAAUCUGUCAGCUAAGUGGCGCACGGGUGAGUAAUAUAUAGGUAACGUGCCUUCAAGAGGGGGAUAACAGAUGGAAACGUCUGCUAAAACCCCAUAUGCCUUUAAUGCGAAAGUAUGCAAGGGAAAUAUUUAUAGCUUGAAGAUCGGCCUGUACAGUAUCAGAUAGUUGGUGAGGUAAUAGCUCACCAAGUCAAUGACGCUUAACUGGUUUGAGAGGAUGAUCAGUCACACUGGAAUUGAGACACGGUCCAGACUCCUACGGGAGGCAGCAGUGGGGAAUAUUGCACAAUGGGGGAAACCCUGAUGCAGCAACGCCGCGUGGAGGAUGACACAUUUCGGUGCGUAAACUCCUUUUAUAUAAGAAGAUAAUGACGGUAUUAUAUGAAUAAGCACCGGCUAACUCCGUGCCAGCAGCCGCGGUAAUACGGAGGGUGCAAGCGUUACUCGGAAUCACUGGGCGUAAAGAGCGUGUAGGCGGAUAGAUAAGUCAGAAGUGAAAUCCAAUAGCUUAACUAUUGAACUGCUUUUGAAACUGUCUAUCUAGAGUAUGGGAGAGGUAGAUGGAAUUUCUGGUGUAGGGGUAAAAUCCGUAGAGAUCAGAAGGAAUACCGAUUGCGAAGGCGAUCUACUGGAACAUAACUGACGCUGAGACGCGAAAGCGUGGGGAGCAAACAGG
rnacentral:rRNA from 1 species